CUAAUUAUAUUUGUUUUAAUUGAUGAAAGAUAAGUUAAAAUUAAAAUGUUGAUUAAUUUAUUAAUUAAGAUUGCUUAUAUUUUAUCGACUUUGUCGCAUAAAGUUCUAGAUAGAAUACUGAUUAUGACAAUUUUCUAUCUAUGUGUCUUGACCAAAUUACGUGCCAGCAGUCGCGGCAAUACGUAGAAGACUAGUGUUAUUCAUCUUUAGUAGGUUUAAAGGGUACCUAGACGGUUUAAUUAGUCCAAAAUAGGAUACGAUUUUACUAGAGUUAUAUAAAAGAAGGUGAGUAUUUGUGGAGUAGAGUUGAAAUUUUUUAAUACCACGAGGACUGGUAACGGCGAAAGCAACCUUUUAUCUAAUAACUGACGUUGAGGGACGAAGGCUCGGGUAGCAAACAGGAUUAGAUACCCUAGUAGUCCAAGCAGAAAAUUAUGAAUGCCAUAGAUUAGAUAUUUUUAAUUUAUAAAUGAAAGUGUAAGCAUUCCACCUCAAGAGUAAUGUGGCAACGCAGGAACUGAAAUCAUUAGACCGUUUCUGAAACCAGUAGUGAAGUAUGUUAUUUAAUUCGAUAGUCCUCGAAAAACCUUACCACAAUUUGAAUAUUAUCUGUUCUUAAUUAUUUGUAGAUAUUAUAAAUAUAUUAUCCAGAUAUUACAAGUGUUGCAUGGCCGUCUUCAGUUAAUGUCGUGAGAUAUUGGUUAACUCCAUUAAAUUAACGGAAACCCUUGUUUUAUUUAUAAAUAUAGCCUCUUCGGUUACAAAAUAAA
rnacentral:rRNA from 1 species